rnacentral:lncRNA from 1 species
AUUAAUUUACAUGAAUAAGAUUAUUAUUUGUAAAUUAUCAAAGAGAAACCGGGGUUCAUUUAUCGAAGUUGAACUAAGUUUAUAAAUGUCCCGCUGGCUAUAUCAGGAUGUGUAUUUAUCAAGAUGUCGAAAAAACCAUUAAAAGAAGAUUUGCUAAUAAAAUCGGAUGCCGUUAAUAAUUCCUACAAAGUAUCUUAUCAACUUAGCAAGUUUCGAAGUUACAAUAACGCAUAUCAACACGUGUGAAAAUAUGCAAACGGCAUCAAUAAAAUUAGAUGAUAGGACGUUUUUCCUUUACCUACUUCGGUCCUACCUUAACCGAUAAAGUAUUGUAAAAAUUAAUUAUUAAUUGUUCGAGAGAUGAAAAAUUCUUCGGAUUUACGAUAAAUUUUAUAAUAAUUGUGCAACUAAACUAAAU